rnacentral:rRNA from 1 species
AUGAACGCUAGCGGCAGGCCUAAUACAUGCAAGUCGAACGAUACCAGAGAGCUUGCUUUCUGGGAAAGUGGCGCACGGGUGCGUAACGCGUAUGCAACCUACCUUAAUCAGGGGGAUAGCCUCUCGAAAGAGAGAUUAACACCGCAUAAAAUCACACUUCGGCAUCGAAGAAUGAUCAAAUAUUUAUAGGAUUAAGAUGGGCAUGCGUGACAUUAGCUAGUUGGUAAGGUAACGGCUUACCAAGGCUACGAUGUCUAGGGGAUCUGAGAGGAUGACCCCCCACACUGGUACUGAGACACGGACCAGACUCCUACGGGAGGCAGCAGUAAGGAAUAUUGGUCAAUGGGGGCAACCCUGAACCAGCCAUGCCGCGUGCAGGAAGACGGCCCUACGGGUUGUAAACUGCUUUUAUACGGGAAUAAAUCUCGCUACGUGUAGUGAGUUGAAUGUACUGUAAGAAUAAGGAUCGGCUAACUCCGU